rnacentral:rRNA from 1 species
UAAGGAAUAUUGGUCAAUGGACGCAAGUCUGAACCAGCCAUGCCGCGUGAAGGAUGAAGGUCCUCUGGAUUGUAAACUUCUUUUAUCUGGGACGAAAACGGGAUUUUUAUCUCAAUUGACGGUACCAGAGGAAUUAGCACCGGCUAACUCCGUGCCAGCAGCCGCGGUAAUACGGAGGGUGCGAGCGUUAUCCGGAUUUACUGGGUUUAAAGGGUGCGUAGGUGGGCUUAUAAGUCAGUGGUGAAAUCUCCGAGCUUAACUUGGAAACUGCCGUUGAUACUAUAGGUCUUGAAUUAUCUGGAGGUAAGCGGAAUAUGUCAUGUAGCGGUGAAAUGCUUAGAUAUGACAUAGAACACCAAUUGCGAAGGCAGCUUACUACAUAUAAAUUGACGCUGAGGCACGAAAGCGUGGGGAUCAAACA